rnacentral:pre_miRNA from 1 species
GAGCAUUAAGAACACAGUCCACCUCCUCGCGUUCACUGCGCAGCCAUAUGUGUUCCUAUCCAUCAUAAGGCACGCGGUGAAUGCCAAGAGCGGGCUCAAGCGCCGAUUGCUC